rnacentral:sRNA from 1 species
UUGAGCGCAGCGAAACAACGAAGCCGCUCGCGGCGACGGCCCGAAGGGCGAGCGAAGCGAGUCAUCCUGCACGACCCACCA